ACAAACAGAUGAAAAUAGCUAUUACCAUGCGUGUAUCGUUCCUGUGUCAAUAAUUAUGUUAAAGAUAUUGAACUAUUGUCAUUAUAAUCUACAAAAUACCCUUUAUAAUAAAUGUAUUCUGAUAUGAAUCUUAUAAAAUGCGGGUGCAUUGCAAAGUACUGUUUAAUAUGGAACAAUAUUAAGGCAAAAAUUGCAUAUUGCCUUCUGGCAUACACGUGUCUCUGUCUGACAAGUUGACUGCUUGAGUUUGACAUUCGGAAUCCCAUCUUGCAUUCUUACAUGUACAUGCCUUUAUUUGAUAUUCAGUUUGAUUUGAUUUUGCCUGCUUCAUAUAUUCGUCUCGCUUUCGGACAUGCUGUAAUCUGAUAUACUACUUCAUCCUACUGACUAGUGGUUCCGUACAUCUUGCCUUCUCGGACCGUCAAUGGUGUAUACUUAUUGACGAAGGUAACAUCUAGCUAUCGGACAUGCUGUAAUCUGACAUACUACUUCAUCGUUACUUACAUCGUGCCUUCUUGGAGCGUCAAUGGUGUAUACUUCUUAGUGAAAACAACUUAAGAAGUUUCUUAACUAUGUGAUUGCAAGGAGCUGGGUUAUGAAAUAAUUUCAGUGCAUUCUUAAAUUCUUGUUCAGGUGGAGAUAACCCUUUGUACGGAAACACACGAACUAUACCGAGAAUGUUAAGACUACACGUCCGGUAACCGCACUAAACACCAUAUAUUCCUAUUUGAAUCCAAGUAAAAUGAGUAUAUUUUUCGAGACUCUACCUUUAAUCGGAUAUAUAAAUAGCGCGCUAUAAAUAGCCUAACAGAACAGAAUUAUGUCAUCACCUGAGUACUAGUCGAAAUAAUUACACGUUCAUACAUGUAUUGUUUUAUAUUUGUGACGCUGACUGGGGAUAUUGCCCAUAUGAAAAAAUAUCACAAUAUUUCCUGGGAUCGCGUCAAAUUAGUUGGACUACUGUUGCUUAUUCAAAGGAGACAUGAUAUCUAACAUUUUGAGAAAUGGCACUGUGGUCAGCAUUUGUCUCACGUGAACUGUGGAGACAUUUGGAAACUGUACCUGAAUGUUCAUCACAAAGUGCUGGUGUUUUGAUAUCUACAAGAGCAGACGGCAACAGAAUUGGAUUUUACCCAAAUCUAAAGAUGUUGAGGAGUACAAGAAACAACAAAAAAGCUAUGAAAAACAAAUGAAAUAAAAACAACGUGAAGUUAUAUUGAAUCAUGGCCCUGGGUUCCAGACCGUUCGACAACAACGAAAAUAAAAAUAUUUUUUUUAGCUCACCAUAGCACAAACUGCUUAAGGUGAGCUAUUGUGAGUGACCGUCGGCGUGCGUCUUGCGUAAACAUUUGCCUUGUGAACACUCUAGAGGCCACAUUUAUGACCAAAUCUUUAUGAAAUUUGGUCAGAAUGUUAGUCAUGAUGAUCUCUAGGUCAAGUUUGAAAGUGGGUUAUGUGGGGUCAAAAACUAUGUCAGUAGGUUAGAUCAAAGAAAAUGCCUGUGAACCUCUAGAGACCACAUUUUUCACCCAAUCUUUAUGAAAAUUUGUCAGAAUGUUAGUCUUGAUAAUCUCUAGGUCAACUUUGAAAUUGGGUCAUGUGGAGUUAAAACCUAGGUCAGAAGGUUAGAUCAAAUAAAACGCUUGUUAACACUCUAGAGACCACAUUUUUAACCCAAUCUUUAUAGAAACUUGGUCAGAAUAUUAGUCUUGAUGAUCUCUAGGUCAAGUUUGAAUCUGGGUCAUGUUAGAUCAAAAAAUAGGUCAGUACGUCAAAUCAAUGGAAAACCUUGUGAACACUCUAGAGACCACAUUUAUGACCCAAUCUUUAUGAAACUUUGUUAGAAUGUUAGUCUUGAUGAUCUCUAGGUCAAUUUCGAAACUGGGUCAUGUUGGAUCAUAAACUAGGUCACCUGGUCAAAUCAAAUGAAAAGUUUGUAAACACUCUAAAGGCCACAGUUGUGUACCAAUAUUUAUGAAACAUAGUCAGAAAGUUUGACUGUAAAAAGUCUCCCCGUACAUUCAAUCAGGGCUGUUACAUUUCGAUCUUCUCAGAUCGUUCAGCACGGCUUUUAUGUCGUGUUAUUAGUACUGUUUAGUUUCUCAACAUGACCAUUUCGGCCAGGGUGGUUCCAAUACCCCCACUUUCAUAGCCUUGGGUAUUGUUUAAUCACCCCUUGGAUAUGGUGCCUGCUUUUUAAUUUUGUCUUUUGACAGUUCCUGUGAUACGCAGGCUGCAUAACCACAGAUGCCCUUCUUAAAUUCCAAUUUGUUUAGUUCUGCCCAUUGUUUUCUCGUUUGGGGCAAACCCUUUAUUUUAUCUGGGGACCAAACGCCUCUCUUCAUGGAAUUACACGCCUCAACACGUGUAUCAUUGAAGGUUCCAUGUUCACCGCCGUUUGAAUACAUCUGCGGAUGUCUCUAAAUUGCUUUUUGUACUUUUAGCAUGUGUAAAUGUUGAGUUCUGCUCAACCCGGGGCUAGAGGGCGUGGACGGUAGCAUGCAUUUCCACUACCAUCCAUGAACAGGCUCAAUCAAACCGAGCCUGCAACAUUUUCGUUUUUGUCGUGUUGAGCGACCUGUGAAGUUUCUAUUUGAUGAUUUCUGUGUCAAAUUUGAAUCUAGGUCAUGUGGGGUCAAAAACUAUAAACGACAGUGUCUACUUGCAGUAGGGAGCACAAUGCCUAACUUUAUAGUGCUGCCUCACCCCACCCAGUCACAUUAUACUGACACCGGGCUGACCAGUCCCAUCACUAUCCUCUUAAUGCUGAACGUCAAGCAAAGAAGCUUCUAGUACCAUUUUUACGUCUUUGGUAUGACACGGCCGGGGAUUGAACCCACGACCUCCCGCACUCAAAGCGGACGCUCUACCACUAGGCUACCGAGGCGGUAGGCCACAGUUGUAACUCAAUCUUUAUGAAACUGGGUCGAAUGUUUGUCUUAAUCAUUUCUAGGUCAAGGUCGAAUCUGGGUCAUGUGGGGUCAAAAACUAGGUCACCCGGUCAAAUCAAAGGAAAAGCUUGUGAAAUCUCUAGAGGCCACAGUUGUAACCAAAUCUUAAUGAAAUUUAAUCAAUAUGUUUGUGACGAUCUUUAGGUCAAGUUCAACUCUUGUCAUGUGGGAUCAAAAACUAGGUCACUAGGCCAGAUAAACUCUUGUGAGCGAUAUAUAGGGCCAUGGCCCUCUUGUUUUUGUUAGAUAUCUGGAAAUUAAUGCUAUGUUUCUGAAGAAUGCUUUGAAACUUAAUUCUGACAGACUAUCAUGAAAACAUGUGAGAAAUAGUUGUUUUUACUAAUUUUACGAUGAAAAUCGAAAAGCGUUUGUUACGCUUUACUCGAGGUAAAGAAAAGUAUUUAUGGAGGUCAGUGCCUUCAAUUUUAUAAAAGAUAAUUCAACACACAUUUCUGUCGAGAUCUAACUUUAUGUGAUGGACCUUUUUAUCUCGGACAAAGUAUAUGAUACGCGAACACGGUUCUGCAAUGUUGCUUAAAUGAGCAUGCAUAUCUUUAACAGUCUGCAAAUAAAAGAUAGAUUUUAAGAAGUUAUUCAUUUAUAUCAUACUGUAUAAUAAUAGAUUUAUGCUAUGUCAUUUUCAAAGAGAAUUUAUAUGUGUUUCCUUUUAUUUGUUAACUAUCUGUUUGUGUUGGCAUAAUAAACAAUUAUGAAUAUAAAAAUAUAAAGAUGA